UACGUAGGCAGCGAGCGUUGUUCGGAGUUACUGGGCGUAAAGAGUGCGUAGGCGGUUUUCUAAGUUUGGUGUGAAAUCUCCCGGCUUAACUGGGAGGGUGCGCCGAAGACUGGAAGGCUUGAGUAUGGGAGAGGUAAGCGGAAUUCCUGGUGUAGCGGUGAAAUGCGUAGAUAUCUGGAGGAACACCGGUGGCGAAGGCGGCAUCCUGGACCGACACUGACGCUGAGGAGCGAAAGCCAGGGGAGCAAACAGG
rnacentral:rRNA from 1 species